CAAUAGCGUAUAUUAAAGCUGUUGCGGUUAAAAAGCUCGUAGUUGGAUUUCUGUCAAGGACAACUGGUCCGCCCCUCGGGUGAGCACAUAGUUUGGUCUUGGCAUCUUGUUGGAAACUGUUGCUGCACUUGGUUGUGUGGCGCAGUGUCCAGCACUUUCACUUUGAGGAAAUUGGAGUGUUUCAAACAGGCACAUGCCUUUGGACACAGUAGCAUGGAAUAAUUAGAUUGGGCUUUUGCUCCAACUUGUCGGUUUCUGGAGCUGAGGUGAGAAUUAAUGGGGAUUGUUGGGGGCAUCCGAAUUUAGCCGUCAGAGGUGAAAUUCUUGGAUCUGCUAAAGACGGACAACUGCGAAAGCGUUUGCCCAGGAUGUUUUCAUUGA
rnacentral:rRNA from 1 species